CAGGGCGUGCGCGUGAGCGGGCGGGGCGGGGUGCGUCCUCGGGGGAGGGGGCCUCACCUCCCACCCGGCUCAGCACCCACUCCGGCCGACCCAGGAGCCGCCCGCCCUUUUUUCUCUGGAAAAUCCUGCCCACUCUGCACCCUCCACGGUUACAGGGACUCGCCUGCUCUGAGCUUCCUAACGCUUGCAGCUCUCUAGAAGGAACGCUGUUGCUCCCGCUAUGGUGGGGACUGAAAUUGGACAGCGCCAGGCCAGAGGGUGCACGCCUGUAACCCCAGACACAAGAGGCCGAGGAAGGAGGAUCUCGGACACUGGGAGGCCCGACUGGACUACAGGCCAGCUUGGGAAACACGGGGGAACUGCGGCCCUUCAUCCUCUAGCCCGAUUGUCCUUGCCUAGGAGUAGCAGUGAGAGGCACACGUGUAUGGCAAAGAUGGCACUGUAGUUGUUCUUCCAAUACAGUACAAAGGUAACUUAAUGGUCUAAACACGGACACUCUAAAUGGCAUGCUUUAAUUUCAGAAUGCCUUUAUAACUGAUAGAUACAGCGUCUGUCUUUGAAAGAAGAAAUGCCUACAUCCAUCAACAGAACAGUAGAUAAGAAAAUGUGGUCUUUACACACGGCAGAGCACUACUCUGCCAUAAGCGUGACAAACGAGUCUUUUGUAGGGAAAUGGAUGCACCUUGAGACCAUAGUGUGAAGUGAAAUAAGUCAGAAGCACAGGCUUAAAUCCUGCCUGGUUUCUCCAACAUGAGAAACCCAAAGGACAAAUAAAGAGCAAAGUAGGAGAGAGAUAAUAGGAAGCAGGGAGGCAGAACUUCCUCAAAUGGGAAGAGGACCCAGAGAGGAGGGAAGGGAGAAGGGAAAGCAAACAGCACUAAGAUGUGUUACGUGCAUCCACCAACUCCCUACAAUGAGUGUAAUCACGAUGCACUGCAA